UCGAGGAUCUUCGGCAAUGCGCGCAAGCGCGACCGAGCGACGCCGCGUGGGCGACGAAGGCCUUCGGGUUGUAAAGCCCUGUCGAGGGGGAGAAAGCCGCAAGGCGGAUCUAUCCCUGGAGGAAGCUCGGGCUAAGUUCGUGCCAGCAGCCGCGGUAAGACGAACCGAGCGAACGUUGUUCGGAAUCACUGGGCUUAAAGGGCGCGUAGGCGGGCUGCCGCGUCCGGGGUGAAAUCCCACGGCUCAACCGUGGAACGGCCCCGGGUACGGGCGGCCUCGAGGGGGGUAGGGGCGUGCGGAACUGUGGGUGGAGCGGUGAAAUGCGUUGAGAUCCACAGGAACUCCGGUGGCGAAGGCGGCACGCUGGACCCCUUCUGACGCUGAGGCGCGAAAGCCAGGGGAGCGAACG
rnacentral:rRNA from 1 species